GUAUGGUUCUCUUACGCUGCUAACCCGUUCCUCCCUUCUCUGUAUCCUCACGCUGGCCUGCUGCUACGCUCUUCUUCAUUCCUUUAUCUAGUGCCCCUCUCCUGCCUGCAACAGAACAAAAAUAGCAACUGAUUAAGAUAGUCGGCAACACAAUGACCUCUAGCCCUAGUUUCAGUAGGUUCCAGAUAAUCCCAAGGCCGACUGGUCAUAUUUUAAGAAAGCAUUGACGUUUAAGUUCACAGUUUGCACACAAGAGAAGAAACCUAAAUAUGGAACAGGUUGACGUCUCUCAGGGUUGGUCCUACCUUCCUGCUAACCCAAUAUGAAGACUCUUCUUCCUUCUACCCCGGUAGUUGCCAGGUCCCGGGGGAUGAGUGGCACUGGAGAAACCAUUCACCAACCAUUAGCUUGGGCCUGACAUUUCCUGUGGCUGCUUAUUUGCCCUCCACCCCACCUAUCUGCUUUUAUAGCUUGUUAGGCGUUGUGCAUGUCUGACAUCCUUGAUUCAAGCAGUAGAAAAUAGGUUUCAUUUGAUGACUUCUUUUUUCAGAUCCUCAUGUCACUAUUUUAACAAUGACAGUGUGUUCCAGUAGUUUAAAGUAGUGUAAAGAGGUGGAAAAAAAUUAAAUCAAAUUAAGGAUAAAGUUUACCCCCUAUCUUAAAUUGAAAUAUACGUGACUUGACUUUGACCCUUUUUUUUAAACUUAUUCUAAUGUUUUAUUUAUCUCUUUUAUAUAUAUAUUUUAUUUUGCUUUUUUUGUAUCACAUUCAGGCCACCUCUUAACGUGAGCUGCAUGAUGCAAUAGUGGGCAGCAGAGUGAAUUAUUUUCCAUUUUAAUUUUCUUUGUUAAACAAUCAAUUGAACUGAUAUGUCAGUUUAUUUCACCGGUUCAAUGAGACUAAAACAUGCUGCAACUGUGGAUGCAGACUUUUUUU